rnacentral:piRNA from 2 species
UGGGCAGCUGGUGAUCGUUGGUCCCGGC